GCUUAACGCGAAGAACCUUACCAAGGCUUGACAUAUACCGAAAACUCAUGGAGACAUGGGGUCCGCAAGGGCGGUAUACAGGUGGUGCAUGGUUGUCGUCAGCUCGUGUCGUGAGAUGUUGGGUUAAGUCCCGCAACGAGCGCAACCCUCGUCCUAUGUUGCCAGCGGGUAAUGCCGGGGACUCAUAGGAGACUGCCGGGGUCAACUCGGAGGAAGGUGGGGAUGACGUCAAAUCAUCAUGCCCCUUAUGUCUUGGGCUUCACGCAUGCUACAAUGGCCGGUACAAAGGGCUGCGAUACCGCAAGGUGGAGCGAAUCCCAAAAAGCCGGUCUCAGUUCGGAUUGGGGUCUGCAACUCGACCCCAUGAAGUCGGAGUCGCUAGUAAUCGCAGAUCAGCAACGCUGC
rnacentral:rRNA from 1 species